rnacentral:lncRNA from 1 species
GGAUUGUUAGCUUUAGUUGGGCAAUUGGCCAUUGGACGAGUCCAGUCUCUUUUCAGUGUAGUGGUAGGACAAGGAGCAAUGGCCAAAAGCAGGAACGUAGGAAGUUACAAAUAUGUGGAAGAGCUUCUUUACAGUGAGAGUGACAGCCUGGCCCUUCCUCUGCUUUGCUACCAUGAGCCAUAACAGAAAUGUUUAAUGAAAAAAUAGAAGAUUCAAAAUGAGCAAAACUCGGCGUUGGAUAAUGCUACAUUUUUUCAGUGUUGUUAGCAGAGAAUCUGUGUCCUUGGAAGAUAAGGAGCCAACUGCAAAAGGUUGUUUUGUAGAAUUUCCCAGAGAUAUUGUUCUGUGCUUGCCUCUUUGCCCACGCAAUUCAAUCGUCUGCUAAGGUAACAAGUAGGUUAUGGAAGUAUGAAAUGGUUCCUUUCAUAAUAACUUUAAUGUUUCAUAAUUAGAAAUGGAAGUGGUAUGCCU